ACGUAGGGGGCGAGCGUUGUCCGGAAUCACUGGGUGUAAAGGGUGCUCAGGCGGGUCGAUAAGUCAGAGGGGAAAUUUCACAGCUUAACUGUGAAUGUGCUUUUGAUACUGUCGGUCUAGAGUUCAGAAGAGGGCAAUGGAAUUCUUGGUGUAGGGGUGAAAUGCGGAGAUCCCUAGAAGAACACCAGUGGCGAAGGCGUCUGCCCGGUAUGGAUCUGACAGUGAAGAACGAAAGCUUGGGGAGCAAACAG
rnacentral:rRNA from 1 species